AGUGAUAAUGCAUCCAACAGCCACGGCCACGAGUGCGCCCGGGUUCGCGGACGCGCUAGCAUCACUGGCGCCGCCGCCGUCUGGGAUGCGCCACGUCGCUGGUCACGUGAAGACGACGUCUCGGUGCGAGGCGGCUAGCUCGUGUACCGAGAGCGUGGUGUUCCAUUCGGCGUCACGCGCAAGGAAGCGCCUGCGGUCAGGGACACGUCGGUGCACCACAGCGGCGCUCCUCCGGCGUUUGCCUGUUUCCAGCGGCUACUCUUCGGCCGAGCCUAUUCCUGGCAUCGAGGCACGGGUAAUCGGGUGACACUUAUGGCGUCUGCGGACAAAAGCAACGGCACUCCAGAGACGCCCGCUGGUCGAAGGAAUGGUGAUGAGCCAACAGACAAGCGCAAGCGACCACUGCGGUUCUCGGGUCAGCAGGACAUCCAGCUACUGCAAGAGGUGGUCAGCCUCAACCCGUUCAAGGACACCCCUCCAACGACAGCGUGGGCCUCGAUAUCGCGCAACUUGGAGAGCGUGCUGUCGAUCAGUUCUAGGCGCUGCCGUGAGCGCACCAUCCUCAUGCUGGACCAGUACAUCAAGGGCGACCUCGCCAGCUUACAGCGCUUCUGCACUAAAGACGAGUUCGCAGUGAAGGAGCAGCUGCUACAACAGGUGCUGCAGCAGUACGAGGGCGGCGCCGGUGGUUACAGCACCCGCAUCGGUACCGGCGUUGCGGCAGGCGCCCCAAGCAGCAGCUGCCCAGGAGGACGACGACGACGACUUUGACUUGUACAAGCCUCGCGUCAUCCUACAGGAGGAGUCCACUCCGGAGCACUCUGACAGCCUCGAACCGAGCAGCGAGCAUGACAAGGACGACCAGCAGGACCAAUCUCCGAAGCGGCCGCGACUCACCGAGGACGAGGUGCUCAUCGAGGAGAUCAAGGCUGCCGCGGCCGCUGCAGCGGCAGCUGCUGCCGAGGAAGGCGCCGCGAAUGACGAGGCGGCCGUGGUGGCCGCGGAGGGCAACACAACCACCAUCGAAGCGCGGCACGUGGCUCGGUCCAUAGUCGCCGGAGACUUCCCCAUGCAAGUGAUCACCUUCCUGCUCACCCGUCAGGCCAAGGAAGCACAAGUCCGAGAGCGCGAGCUGAAGAUUCGUCGUGAGGAGGUGCAGCUAGAAAAGGCUCGGCUGCGACUCCAGGAGGACAAACUGGCGCUGGAGAGGGCUCGCUUCGAGAUCGAACGCCAGGAGCGCGAGCUUCGGCUCCGCUCCGAGCUCCAGGAGCGCACCGUCUUCAUGGAAGUGCUUAAAAAAGUCUUCAGCAAUGGGCUUGGUACCAUCUGACAGGCGUCGUCUUGCUCACUGUGAAUGCUGCAGGUCGCAGUCCUCGCGACAUUCACGGUGUUGGUGUCUGGUAGCCGAGUUCAGCAACGGGACACUUGAAGGAAGCUUCGGACGUAAUGUGCCUGGCACUGUUACGCUUGAGUCAACCUUUUGUUUUCUUUUCUUUUUUAUUCAGUACCACAUUAAACGCCCAUCGCCAUUGCCUGU